GGACCGUAAUUCAGUGGUAGAGCAUCUGACUUGCACUCAGAAGCUCCCAGGUGCUAUCUCUGGCAUCUCCA